AUGUUGGUAUUGCUUGGAGAUUCUGGUGUUGGAAAAAGCUGCAUCGUUCUUCGGUUUGUCCGCGGUCAGUUCGAUCCAACUUCCAAGGUAACUGUUGGUGCAUCAUUUUUAUCACAAACAUUGGCGUUGGAGGAUUCGACAAUAGUGAAGUUUGAAAUCUGGGAUACUGCUGGACAAGAGAGAUAUGCUGCCUUGGCACCCCUUUACUACAGAGGAGCUGCUGCUGCGGUUGUUGUCUAUGACAUAACUAGUCCAGAAUCAUUCAAGAAAGCACAAUAUUGGGUGAAGGAACUUCAAAAACAUGGUAGUCCUGGUAUUGUCAUGGUUUUGGUUGGUAAUAAAGCUGAUCUACAUGAAAGUCGAAGUGUACCUUCUCAGGAGGCACAAGAGUAUGCAGAGAAGAACAGCAUGUUAUUCAUGGAGACGUCAGCAAAAACAUCUGAUAAUAUAAAUCAAGUAUUUGAGGAAAUCGCGAAGAGGUUGCCCAAGCCAACGGCGUCCUGA
rnacentral:rRNA from 1 species